UAUCUGGUUGAUCCUGCCUGAACUGAUGUGUUCAUUUCAAAGAUUAAGCCAUGCAUGUAUAAGUUUAAUCGUUUUAACGAGAAACCGCGAACGGCUCAUUACAAUGGCCAUGAUUUACUUGAUCUUGAUUAUCUAAAUGGAUAACUGUGGAAAAGCUAGAGCUAAUACAUGCACCAGAGCUUUGUCCUCUCGGAAAAGCGCAUUUAUUAGAACAAAACCACGCGGCUUCGGCUGCUUCUUGUUGACUCAGAAUAACUAAGCUGACCGCAUGGCCUUGUGCCGGCGGCGUGUCUUUCAAGCGUCCACUUUAUCAACUUGACGGGAGCAUAAUCGACUCCCGUGGUGGUGACGGAUAACGGAGGAUCAGGGUUCGACUCCGGAGAAGGGGCCUGAGAAAUGGCCACUACGUCUAAGGAUGGCAGCAGGCGCGCAAAUUACCCACUCUCGGCUCGAGGAGGUAGUGACGAGAAAUAACGAGACUGUUCUCUUUGAGGCCGGUCAUCGGAAUGGGUACAAUUUAAACCCUUUAACGAGUAUCAAGCAGAGGGCAAGUCUGGUGCCAGCAGCCGCGGUAAUUCCAGCUCUGCUAAUACAUAGAAUUAUUGCUGCGGUUAAAAAGCUCGUAGUUGGAUUCGUAUCGGUACCUUGGAACCCUUCGGGUGUUUCUGGGUGUUAUCGAUUUAUCGUAAUGUUCGGUUUUGAGUCCUUAACAGGAUUCUUAACAGGCAUUGCAAGUUUACUUUGAACAAAUCAGAGUGCUUCAAACAGGCGUUUUCGCUUGAAUGAUCGUGCAUGGAAUAAUAGAAAACGAUUUCGGUUCAGUUUUAUUGGUUUUACGGACUGAGAUAAUGGUUAACAGAGACAAACGGGGGCAUUUGUAUGGCCCCGUGAGAGGUGAAAUUCUUGGACCGUGGCCAGACAAACUACAGCGAAAGCAUUUGCCAAGAAUGUCUUCAUUAAUCAAGAACGAAAGUCAGAGGUUCGAAGGCGAUCAGAUACCGCCCUAGUUCUGACCGUAAACGAUGCCAACUAGCGAUCCGCCGAUGGAAAUUAUAUUGCCUUGGUGGGGAGCUUCCCGGAAACGAAAGUCUUCCGGUUCCGGGGGAAGUAUGGUUGCAAAGCUGAAACUUAAAGGAAUUGACGGAAGGGCACCACCAGGAGUGGAGCCUGCGGCUUAAUUUGACUCAACACGGGGAAACUCACCCGGCCCGGACACUGUGAGGAUUGACAGAUUGAUAGCUUUUUCAUGAUUCAGUGGAUGGUGGUGCAUGGCCGUUCUUAGUUCGUGGAGUGAUUUGUCUGGUUUAUUCCGAUAACGAGCGAGACUCUAACCUACUAAAUAGCUGGUACAUACUCUUAGUGUAUACAGCUUCUUAGAGGGAUUUGCGGUGUUCAGCCGAAAGAAAUUGAGCAAUAACAGGUCUGUGAUGCCCUUAGAUGUCCGGGGCUGCACGCGCGCUACACUGGCAAAAUCAACGUGCUUGUCCUACCCCGAAAGGGGCGGGUAAACCAUUGAAAAUUUGCCGUGAUUGGGAUCGGAAAUUGCAAUUAUUUUCCGUGAACGAGGAAUUCCAAGUAAGUGCGAGUCAUCAGCUCGCGUUGAUUACGUCCCUGCCCUUUGUACACACCGCCCGUCGCUGCCCGGGACUGAGCCAUUUCGAGAAAUUUGGGGACCGUUGAUUUAAUUUUUCUAAAUUACUUUGAUGGAAACCAAUUUAAUCGCAGUGGCUUGAACCGGGCAAAAGUCGUAACAAGGUAGCUGUAGGUGAACCUGCUGCUGGAUCAUUA
rnacentral:rRNA from 1 species